CCUACGGGAGGCAGCAGUGAGGAAUAUUGGUCAAUGGGCGAGAGCCUGAACCAGCCAAGUCGCGUGAGGGAGUACUGCCCUAUGGGUUGUAAACCUCUUUUGUCGGGGAGCAAAAGCCGGACGUGGCCGGCUGUGAGAGUUCCCGAAGAAAAAGCAUCGGCUAACUCCGUGCCAGCAGCCGCGGUAAUACGGAGGAUGCGGGGGUUAUCCGGAUUUAUUGGGUUUAAAGGGGGCGCAGGCGGAUUUUUAAGUCAGCGGUCAAAUCGUGGGGCUCAACCCCAUCCAGCCGUUGAAACUGGGGAUCUAGAGUGUGCGAGAGGUAUGCGGAAUGCGUGGUGUAGCGGUGAAAUGCAUAGAUAUCACGAAGAACUCCGAUUGCGAAGGCAGCUUACUAAACUGCCACUGACAUUGAUGCUCGAAAGUGUGGGUAUCAAACAGGAUUAGAUACCCGUGUAGUC
rnacentral:rRNA from 1 species